UCCGGCUUAUCACCGGCAGUUUCAUUAAAGUGCCCAGCCAAACCUGAUGGCAACUAAUGAUGAGGGUUGCGCUCGUUGCGGGACUUAACCCAACAUCUCACGACACGAGCUGACGACAGCCAUGCAGCACCUGUGUGGAACCCGGCCGAACCGAAGAAAAUCAUCUCUGAUCUCCAUAAUUCCCAUGUCAAGAGCUGGUAAGGUUUUUCGCGUUGCGUCGAAUUAAACCACAUACUCCACCGCUUGUUCGAGCCCCCGUCAAUUCCUUUGAGUUUUAAUCUUGCGACCGUACUCCCCAGGCGGAGUGCUUAAUGCGUUAGCUGCGACACUGAUGGAUUCCUCCACCAACAUCUAGCACUCAUCGUUUACAGCGUGGACUAC
rnacentral:misc_RNA from 1 species